rnacentral:rRNA from 1 species
UUGGGUUAAGUCCCGCAACGAGCGCAACCCUUGCCUUUAGUUGCCAGCAGUUCGGCUGGCACUCUAAAGGGACUGCCGGUGUUAAACCGGAGGAAGUGGGGGAUGACGUCAAGUCCUCAUGGCCUUUAUGACCAGGGCUACACACGUACUACAAUGGCCGAUACAAAGGGCAGCGACACUGCGAGGUGAAGCCAAUCCCGUAAAUCGGUCUCAGUCCGGAUUGGAGUCUGCAACUCGACUCCAUGAAGUUGGAAUCGCUAGUAAUCGUGGAUCAGCAUGCCACGGUGAAUACGUUCCCGGGCCUU